rnacentral:rRNA from 1 species
AUACGUAGGGUGCAAGCGUUAAUCGGAAUUACUGGGCGUAAAGCGUGCGCAGGCGGUUUUGGAAGACAGAGGUGAAAUCCCCGGGCUCAACCUGGGGACUGCCCUUGUGACUGCAAGGCUAGAGUACGGCAGAGGGGGAUGGAAUUCCGCGUGUAGCAGUGAAAUGCGUAGAUAUGCGGAGGAACACCAAUGGCGAGGGCAAUCCGCUGGGACAGUACAGAAGCAGAUGCACGAAUGCGUGGGGAGCAAACAGGAUUAGAUAUCCUGGUAGUCGACGCCCAGAAGGAUGUCAACUGGUUGUGGGGGCUUCAGUGUCCCAGUACUGAACCUAACGCGUUAAGGUGAACGCCUUGGGAGUUAGGCCGCAAGGUGGAAACUCAAACGAAUUGGCGGGG